GAUGAACGCUAGCGGGAGGCCUAACACAUGCAAGCCGAGCGGUAGAGUUUCUUCGGAAACUUGAGAGCGGCGCACGGGUGCGUAACACGUGUGCAACCUACCUUUAUCUGGGGGAUAGCCUUUCGAAAGGAAGAUUAAUACCCCAUAAUAUAAUGAUUGGCAUCAAUUAUUAUUGAAAACUCCGGUGGAUAGAGAUGGGCACGCGCAAGAUUAGAUAGUUGGUGAGGUAACGGCUCACCAAGUCAAUGAUCUUUAGGGGUCCUGAGAGGGAGAUCCCCCACACUGGUACUGAGACACGGACCAGACUCCUACGGGAGGCAGCAGUGAGGAAUAGUGGACAAUGGGUGAGAGCCUGAUCCAGCCAUCCCGCGUGAAGGAUGACGGUCCUAUGGAUGGUAAACUUCUUUUGUACAGGGAUAAACCUACCCUCGUGAGGGUAGCUGAAGGUACUGUACGAAUAAGCACCGGCUAACUCCGUG
rnacentral:rRNA from 1 species